CACGUAGGGAGCAAGCGUUGUCCGGAUUUAUUGGGCGUAAAGAGCUCGUAGGCGGUUCAGUAAGUCAGGUGUGAAACCUCCAGGCUCAACCUGGAGACGCCACCUGAUACUGCUGUGACUUGAGUCCGGUAGGGGAGCGUGGAAUUCCUGGUGUAGCGGUGAAAUGCGUAGAGAUCGGGUGGAACACCAGGGGCGAAGGCGGCUGCCUGGCCCUGACCUGACGCUGAGGCGCGAGAGCGUGGGGAGCAAACCGG
rnacentral:rRNA from 1 species